CUUCUUCCGCGAACUAGUUCGGCUUGGAGCGGUAAGAACCCUAGUCCUACAGAAAAUGAUAGGCUAUUCUGCAGCUGAAAUCAAUGCAGCGCCCUGAGAACAAUAAUAUCUUUGCAUGCCCUAUCUUCUGUUUGUGAUAGCAAGAGAAGCAACCUUCAAAUGCAU